AUACAGAGGGUGCGAGCGUUAAUCGGAAUUACUGGGCGUAAAGCGCGCGUAGGCGGCUUGGUCAGUCGGAUGUGAAAGCCCCGGGCUCAACCUGGGAAUGGCAUUCGAUACUGCCAGGCUAGAGUAUGGGAGAGGGAAGUGGAAUUUCCGGUGUAGCGGUGAAAUGCGUAGAUAUCGGAAAGAACACCAGUGGCGAAGGCGACUUCCUGGCCCAAUACUGACGCUGAGGUGCGAAAGCGUGGGGAGCGAACGGGAUUAGAUACCCUUGUAGUCC
rnacentral:rRNA from 1 species